rnacentral:tRNA from 1 species
GGUGAGUUUAGCUCAGUGGCAGAGCACAUGCUUAGCAUGCACGAGGUCCUAGGUUCAAUCCCCAGCACCU